rnacentral:rRNA from 1 species
GACGAACGCUGGCGGCGUGCCUAAUACAUGCAAGUGGGACGCAAGGGAACACACUGUGCUUGCACACCGUGUUUUCUUGAGUCGCGAACGGGUGAGUAACGCGUAGGUAACCUGCCUAUUAGCGGGGGAUAACUAUUGGAAACGAUAGCUAAUACCGCAUAAUAUUAAUUAUUGCAUGAUAAUUGAUUGAAAGAUGCAAGCGCAUCACUAGUAGAUGGACCUGCGUUGUAUUAGCUAGUUGGUAAGGUAAGAGCUUACCAAGGCGACGAUACAUAGCCGACCUGAGAGGGUGAUCGGCCACACUGGGACUGAGACACGGCCCAGACUCCUACGGGAGGCAGCAGUAGGGAAUCUUCGGCAAUGGACGAAAGUCUGACCGAGCAACGCCGCGUGAGUGAAGAAGGUUUUCGGAUCGUAAAGCUCUGUUGUAAGUCAAGAACGUGUGUGAGAGUGGAAAGUUCACACAGAG